UGUGAAGACAAUGGCACCCGAACCGCGAAACUACACUUCCCAGAAAAUGAUGCGGCCGCGAAACGUCUUUCGGGUCUUCCUCUACUCGCACAGAUGUUGUCCUGCCCGGAGAAGGGCAACCUUGCUAGUGCGGGACAAGAAGUGGCCUCUACCAGCCUAAGGUCUCCUCUCAUCCAAAACUUUGGUGCUAUGCUGUCCAGCUCGUAUAGGUCUUGAGUAUUUGGCGCCCACUUGCCCAGGACUGUAUUUCCCCAAAUGCCCUGUGUCCGGGCUGUUACAACAUUAGCUGUCCGCGGACCAAUGACACUUCCCGGAGUGUCACUUCACGUCUUCGCUACGACAGUGACCGCCGCUGUGAUGUGCAUUACAUGUCCUCGAAGGACUCAGGAUUAUCGGACUCGAGUGAGGGCACUGAGGACAAAGACCCUCAAUCCUGGGAAAAAACACUCCUCUGACCCUCCUCCGGCCCCAGAAGCUCUUCUUAGUCUCUGACUUUGCCCAGCCAACCCACACGGGCCCUGGACAAAGAUGUAUCCAGUCCAGAGCAUUCUACUGUUGGUGAUAUCCGGUUCCCAAACCAGACCUAAUCCACCCACUGAAGCACAGGCAGGAGCUGUGGGUGGUGAAGAGAAGCCUCUCCCAAAGUGCCUGUCCAGGCUCCAGAGAGAUCCCUCUCCCUUCCACCAUAUGGG